AUUGAACGCUGGCGGCAGGCUUAACACAUGCAAGUCGAGCGGUAACAGGAGAAGCUUGCUUCUUGCUGACGAGCGGCGGACGGGUGAGUAAUACUUAGGAAUCUGCCCAGUAGUGGGGGAUAGCUCGGGGAAACUCGAAUUAAUACCGCAUACACCCUACGGGGAAAAGGGGGCGCUUGCGCUCUCGCUAUUGGAUGAGCCUAAGUCGGAUUAGCUAGUUGGUGGGGUAAAGGCCUACCAAGGCGACGAUCUGUAGCUGGUCUGAGAGGAUGAUCAGCCACACCGGGACUGAGACACGGCCCGGACUCCUACGGGAGGCAGCAGUGGGGAAUAUUGGACAAUGGGGGCAACCCUGAUCCAGCCAUGCCGCGUGUGUGAAGAAGGCCUUUUGGCUGUAAAGCACUUUAAGCAGUGAAGAAGACUCUAUGGUUAAUACCCAUAGACGAUGACAUUAGCUGCAGAAUAAGCACCGGCUAACUCUGUGCCAGCAGCCGCGGUAAUACAGAGGGUGCAAGCGUUAAUUGGAAUUACUGGGCGUAAAGCGAGCGUAGGUGGCUUGAUAAGUCAGAUGUGAAAUCCCCGGGCUUAACCUGGGAACUGCAUCUGAUACUGUUAGGCUAGAGUAGGUGAGAGGGAGGUAGAAUUUCAGGUGUAGCGGUGAAAUGCGUAGAGAUCUGAAGGAAUACCGAUGGCGAAGGCAGCCUCCUGGCAUCAUACUGACACUGAGGUUCGAAAGCGAGGGUAGCAAACAGGAUUAGAUACCCUGGUAGUCCACGCCGUAAACGAUGUCUACUAGUCGUUGGGGAACUUGAUUCCUUAGUGACGCAGCUAACGCAAUAAGUAGACCGCCUGGGGAGUACGGCCGCAAGGUUAAAACUCAAAUGAAUUGACGGGGGCCCGCACAAGCGGUGGAGCAUGUGGUUUAAUUCGAUGCAACGCGAAGAACCUUACCUGGUCUUGACAUAUCUAGAAUCCUGCAGAGAUGCGGGAGUGCCUUCGGGAAUUAGAAUACAGGUGCUGCAUGGCUGUCGUCAGCUCGUGUCGUGAGAUGUUGGGUUAAGUCCCGCAACGAGCGCAACCCUUUUCCUUAGUUACCAGCGGUUUGGCCGGGGACUCUAAGGAUACUGCCAGUGACAAACUGGAGGAAGGCGGGGACGACGUCAAGUCAUCAUGGCCCUUACGACCAGGGCUACACACGUGCUACAAUGGUAGGUACAGAGGGCAGCUACACAGCGAUGUGAUGCGAAUCUCAAAAAGCCUAUCGUAGUCCAGAUUGGAGUCUGCAACUCGACUCCAUGAAGUCGGAAUCGCUAGUAAUCGCGGAUCAGAAUGCCGCGGUGAAUACGUUCCCGGGCCU
rnacentral:rRNA from 1 species